UGGGGAAUUUUGGACAAUGGGCGCAAGCCUGAUCCAGCCAUGCCGCGUGCAGGAUGAAGGCCUUCGGGUUGUAAACUGCUUUUGUACGGAACGAAAAGACUCCUUCUAAUAAAGGGGGUCCAUGACUGUACCGUAAGAAUAAGCACCGGCUAACUACGUGCCAGCAGCCGCGGUAAUACGUAGGGUGCGAGCGUUAAUCGGAAUUACUGGGCGUAAAGCGUGCGCAGGCGGUUAUGUAAGACAGAUGUGAAAUCCCCGGGCUCAACCUGGGAACUGCGUUUGUGACUGCAGAGCUAGAGUACGGCAGAGGGAGGUGGAAUUCCGCGUGUAGCAGUGAAAUGCGUAGAUAUGAGGAGGAACACCGAUGGCGAAGGCAGCCUCCUGGGCCAGUACUGACGCGCAUGCACGAAAGCGUGGGGAGCAAACA
rnacentral:rRNA from 1 species